UCUCUGGUGGUCCAGUGGUUAGGACUCAGCACUAUCACUGCUGAGGCCCUGGGUUCGAUCCCUGGUCAGGGAG